UACGGAGGAUCCGAGCGUUAUCCGGAUUUAUUGGGUUUAAAGGGAGCGUAGGCGGAAGUUUAAGUCAGUUGUGAAAGUUUGCGGCUCAACCGUAAAAUUGCAGUUGAUACUGGAUUUCUUGAGUGCGGUAUAGGUAGGCGGAAUUCGUGGUGUAGCGGUGAAAUGCUUAGAUAUCACGAAGAACUCCGAUUGCGAAGGCAGCUUACUGGAUCGUAACUGACGCUGAUGCUCGAAAGUGCGGGUAUCAAACAGG
rnacentral:rRNA from 1 species